rnacentral:rRNA from 1 species
AGAAUCAACGCUGGCGGCGUGCCUAACACAUGCAAGUCGCACGAGAAAGGGGAGCAAUCCCUGAGUACAGUGGCGCACGGGUGAGUAACACGUGAAUUAUCUACCUCCGAGUGGGGAAUAACUGAGAGAAAUCUUAGCUAAUACCGCAUAACACUUACGAGUCAAAGCAGCAAUGCGCUUGGAGAGGAGUUCGCGGCCGAUUAGUUAGUUGGCGGGGUAAUGGCCCACCAAGACAGUGAUCUGUA